GGUGAGAUGGCCGAGUGGUCCAAGGCGCUAGGUUUAGGCCCUAGUCCCAUAUUACUUGGGGCGGGAGUUCGAACCUCCCUCUCAUCA